rnacentral:misc_RNA from 1 species
CCAAUAGCGUAUAUUAAAGUUGUUGCAGUUAAAAAGCUCGUAGUUGAAUUUCGGGAUCAAUACGUCGGUCGUGCUUUCGGGUACGUACUGGCGUCAUUGGUUUCUCCUUUCUGACGAACCAUGAUGUCAUUAAUUUGGUGUUAUGGGGAGUUAGGACUGUUACUUUGAAAAAAUUAGAGUGUUUAAAGCAGGCAUUAGCUUGAAUACAUUAGCAUGGAAUAAUGAAAUAGGACGUUCGAUCCUAUUUUGUUGGUUUCUAGGAUCAACGUAAUGAUUAAUAGGGAUAGUUGGGGGCAUUAGUAUUCAAUUGUCAGAGGUGAAAUUCUUGGAUUUAUUGAAGACUAACUACUGCGAAAGCAUUUGCCAAGGAUGUUUUCAUUAAUCAAGAACGAAAGUUAGGGGAUCGAAGACGAUCAGAUACCGUCGUAGUCUUAACCAUAAACUAUGCCGACUAGGGAUCGGAUGAUGUUAAUUUUUUAAUGACUCAUUCAGCGCCUUACG